GGAGUUGGCCAGGCAAUCGCUCCGCGCAUACCUUCCAUUGCUGGAUAAGGUGCGCCGGGGAGGAAAGUCCGGGCUCCAUAGGGCAGAGUGCCAGGUAACACCUGGGAGGCGUGAGCCUACGGAAAGUGCAACAGAGAGUAGACCGCCCAAGCACGCAAGUGCCGGUAAGGGUGAAAGGGUGCGGUAAGAGCGCACCGCGCAACUGGUAACAGGCUGCGGCUAGGUAAACCCCACUCGGAGCAAGACCAAAUAGGGGUCCAUUGGUGUGGCCCGCACUGGACCCGGGUAGGUUGCUUGAGGCCUGUGGUGACACAGGUCCCAGAUGAAUGAUUGCCCACGACAGAACCCGGCUUAUCGGCCGACUCCUUUA
rnacentral:RNase_P_RNA from 21 species